GUUUAAAUUUAGAUGCAGGGGUGUUUCCCAGCUCCUUCAGCAUCGGAAUCAACUUUGGAUAAGGUGGGCAUGCAAAUGGAAUUGAAGUGGGUGACGUUAGGAAGAUGUGCUUUGUUGCAAGUUGAAGGGGCUAUAAGGGGCUAUCUACGUUGCUUGGCUUCAUUGGAACUCCUCAAUGGAGUUAUGAAUUCAAGUUUGAUCAGAAUUUUUAAGUUUGUUCYUUCAUGUUGACCUAUGGUUGUAUCAUAAAGAUUAUCUACGUUUCUUGGCUCCAUUGGAACACCUUAAUUGAGUUAUGAAUUCAAUCUAAGGUUGGAUGGUCUUGAUCAAUAUUCAACCAUAUUUGCUCUUGAGAGAUAGUGAGGGACUUCUGGUCGAUUUGGCAAGAAAGAAACUCAAGGAUGUUCCAAAACAAAAGAUGUCAAGAGGAUAAAGUGUGGCAGAGAAUUGUGGAG